rnacentral:lncRNA from 1 species
GGCUUUGGGGUUUGGUGGCCACCGGCGUUGGUGGAGGAUCUGUGGCGUUCAAGGUGGUCGUUGAGAAUUGGGAUGAUGUCUGUCGGCGACGAGGAUGAUAGGGAAGGGUUGUUGAUUGGCCGUCGCGGCGUCUUGCGGCAUUGACGGCGGCGGCUAGGGAAGAGGAUUAGGGUUUCUGAAUUGGGAAUUAGGGUUUCUGGGAAGAUGAUGAUGUGGCAAGUGCGAUGAUGUGGCAAUACCUAAUUGGUUCAUUUGGUGUGCAGAGGAUUAAUGACAUGGCAUCAUCUGGAUGGUUGGAUCUAUUAGUGGGUGAAUGCCACAUGGCGUAAUUUGAUGAAGUCUGACUUAGGAAUAGUAGGAGGUGUGUGUAUAGUGAAUUAGGGGGUGUAGGCGAAAAUGGUUUCUGUUGGGCUUUAG